AUUGUUUUAUUAGCAAAUUAAUACUUACUUAUUAAGGAUAUUCGUAUUUAAAGUUAUCUGGUUAUAGUCAUCUUAUUUUUGCGAAGACCAUUCAUGUCUAAUGUGUCGGUCUUGUCUGUUUGUCUGUCCUUAGAGACAUUUAAUAAAGAUCAGUUUGUGAAAUAUACACAAACUGAACAUAAAUAGGUGGUUACGUGCAUACGUUAUAAAAUGAGAGCAGUAUCAUAACAAAAUACAAGAUGUAUAUAAUUCGGAAAAGGAAUUUCGUACAAAUUCCUUGAAUUGAAAAUUAGUCAGAUUUAAGUCUCUUAGAUCGGUAACAAGUUAAAAGCAAUUUUCAAAUCCAAGUUAGUAUUUGUAGCUCGCAAUAACUUAUAUUUGGCCGGUUUUUUGAAGUAAUAACUUCUUAUAGAAGGCUAAACUGCUUCUUCACUCUGUCUGUCUUCCCUUUCUUUUACACAUACGGCAGCAGGUUUACAUUCCGAGACGCAAACGUUUCUUUUUUAAUUUUUAAACUAGAAAUUGGUAGGUACUUGUACAUUAAUUGCAAUAUUGUCUUUUAUUGUUUGUUUAUAUGCAGGAAUGAAAAAUUGUCAAGGUCACUGCUUUAAAAUCUUUUAAUUCUGUAAAUUUUGUAAGACAUUAAGACGAUUCCAAUUUUAAUUUUUUAUUUUUUUAUUGUUAUAUCUACUACUUUUGUGGAAGUUACAUUAAUUUUAUUAGUUAGGUGUUUUUCUUUUUUCAGGACCUCCAAUCCUAUUUGGAUGCUUCCAAAAAUGGGGUUAUAUACAUGAGUUUUGGCUCGAGUGUUCAACCAUCGAUGUUAUCUGACCGACCGGUGAUGUAUUAAUUCAAGCCAUGUGAGAAUAUCUUAUAGAUUUAGAUUUUGCAGACAGUGUUGUUUCUUGUGGUCCUGUCAGAAAUGUCUUAAAUUAAGACAACACCGGCUAAGCACCGCCUUCAUACUGAUCAGCAGUUAUCGUGAAAACUUGGUGAAGCUUCGUAAUAUUUUGACUGAUCAGCAACUCUCGUCUCUGGAACGCGCCGUGUGGUGGACCGAGCAUGUAAUAAGACACGGUGGGGCAGCACAUUUGCAGGCUGCAGCAGCACACAUGACCUGGACAAAUUACUAUAUGUUAGACUUACUGUUGCUAUUACUGAUGAUCUUGCUAAUUACCAUACUGUUACUAACACUUAUAGUACGUUUAAUCUUUAAGAACAUUACAAAGUUUAUAGCUAUUAAAGUUAAGAGAAGUUGA